rnacentral:lncRNA from 13 species
CUGAACUCCAAUUUGCUUACAAAGUCUAGAAGUUAAAUAAUGGAAGCUUGGAUCACGAUUUCAUGGCAGAUCAGGUACCUUUCCCUUCCUUCACACUGCAGAGUAGUUGAGAGGUGCCUCAGGGUUUGGUGAUCAGUAUUAAGAGGUGAAGAGAAGAGAUAUUCCAAGGCACAAUGACAAUGUGCUUACCAGUUGCCAAGGAUGUGGACUCAGCUUUGAAGUAGACCUUCCUCCCACUGCUGCUCCGUUUCUGCCCAUAUAAUGAAGGCUUACCACUUUCUGUAAGCUUUGUCUGCAUGACCUCAUCCAGCUGGGAGAUCACCCUGAGAGGCCAGCAAAUGACCAAUCCCAUCAUCCCUUCUGAGGUCAGCGCCCUGGGAAGAAAGGAAUUUAUGAUGGGAAAACUUCAGGUCCCAGAGAGGGAACUUCUCUACAUGAAAAAGACUACCAAGCAGAAUUCUUUGGCGACUCUCAAAGCACCAAAUAUCAGCGCUGCUUAUGGCCAGGCUACCUGUGAGUUAUUCUGUUGUUUCUUCAUUAAAUGACAUAAAUGAGAUAACUCUAAAAUAUUUAUAAUGGAUAGCUUUUGUUAUAGUAUUGCGUAUUUAUUG